rnacentral:rRNA from 1 species
GGCGAUGGACAACAGGUUGAUAUUCCUGUACCACCUCCUCACCAUUUGAGCAAUGGGGGGACGCAGGAGGAUAGGGUAAGCGCGGUAUUGGAUAUCCGCGUCCAAGCAGUUAGGCUGGGAAAUAGGCAAAUCCGUUUCCCGUGAAGGCUGAGCUGUGAUGGCGAGCGAAUUAUAGUAGCGAAGUUCCUGAUUCCACACUGCCAAGAAAAGCCUCUAGCGAGGUGAGAGGUGCCCGUACCGCAAACCGACACAGGUAGGCGAGGAGAGAAUCCUAAGGUGAUCGAGAGAACUCUCGUUAAGGAACUCGGCAAAAUGACCCCGUAACUUCGGGAGAAGGGGUGCUCUGUUAGGGUGCAAGCCCGAGAGAGCCGCAGUGAAUAGGCCCAGGCGACUGUUUAGCAAAAACACAGGUCUCUGCGAAGCCGUAAGGC